rnacentral:rRNA from 1 species
UACGAAGGGGGCUAGCGUUGUUCGGAAUUACUGGGCGUAAAGCGCACGUAGGCGGAUCGAUCAGUCAGGGGGUGAAAAUCCCCAGGGCUCAACCCUGGAACUGCCCUUUGAUACUGUCGAUCUGGAGUAUGGAAGAGGUGAGUGGAAUUCCGAGUGUAGAGGUGAAAUUCGUAGAUAUUCGGAAAGAACACCAGUGGCGAAGGCGGCUCACUGGACUGGUAUUGACGCUGAGGUGCGAAAGCGAUGGGGAGCAAACAGGG